rnacentral:rRNA from 1 species
CCUACGGGAGGCAGCAGUAAGGAAUAUUGGACAAUGGACGCAAGUCUGAUCCAGCCAUGCCGCGUGAAGGAUUAAGGCCCUCUGGGUUGUAAACUUCUUUUAUAGGGGACGAAAAAAGGGCUUUCUAGCUCGACUGACGGUACCCUAUGAAUAAGCACCGGCUAACUCCGUGCCAGCAGCCGCGGUAAUACGGAGGGUGCAAGCGUUAUCCGGAUUCACUGGGUUUAAAGGGUGCGUAGGCGGGCAGUUAAGUCAGUGGUGAAAUCUUCGAGCUCAACUCGGAAACUGCCAUUGAUACUAUUUGUCUUGAAUAUUGUGGAGGUGAGCGGAAUAUGUCAUGUAGCGGUGAAAUGCUUAGAUAUGACAUAGAACACCGAUUGCGAAGGCAGCUCGCUACACAAAUAUUGACGCUGAGGCACGAAGGCGUGGGGAGUCAAACAGGAUUAGAUACCCUGGUAGUCCACGCCCUAAACUAUGGAUACUCGACAUUUGCGAUACACAGUAAGUGUCUGAGCGAAAGCAUUAAGUAUCCCACCUGGGAAGUACGACCGCGAAGGUUGAAACGUCAAAGGAAUUAGACGG